AGCAGCCGCGGUAAUUCCAGCUCCAAUAGCGUAUAUUAAAGUUGUUGCAGUUAAAAAGCUCGUAGUUGAAUUUCGGGGUUAGUAGGCUGGUCAUGCCUCUGGUAUGUACUGGUCUCACUGAUUCCUCCUUCCUGAUGAACCUUAAUGCCAUUAAUUUGGUGUUUUGGGGAAUUUGGACUGUUACUUUGAAAAAAUUAGAGUGUUUAAAGCAAGCUAACGCUUGAAUACAUUAGCAUGGAAUAAUGAAAUAGGACGUUCGAUCCUAUUUUGUUGGUUUCUAGGAUUGACGUAAUGAUUAAUAGGGAUAGUUGGGGGCAUUAGUAUUCAAUUGUCAGAGGUGAAAUUCUUGGAUUUAUUGAAGACUAACUACUGCGAAAGCAUUUGCCAAGGAUGUUUUCAUUAAUCAAGAACGGAAGUUAGGGGAUCGAAGACGAUCAGAUACCGUCGUAGUCUUAACCAUAAACUAUGCCGACUAGGGAUCGGAUGAUGUUAAUUUUUAAUGACUCAUUCGGCGCCUUAC
rnacentral:rRNA from 1 species